rnacentral:misc_RNA from 1 species
GAAAUGCGAUAAGUAAUGUGAAUUGCAAUUCCGUGAAUCAUUAAAUCUUUGAACGCACAUUGCGCUUUGUGGUAUUCCGCAGAGCAUGUCUGUUUGAGAAUCAGUAUAACCUUCACUUCCUCAUUUUGUGGGAGUGGAUUUGGGGUGUUUAAACUUUUGUUUAAUACUCUUUAACUCAAUUUUCGCCUUUAUGGAUUAUCUCAGUUGACUGGAAGGCAUGACUAAUGGACUGCAAAGUUCUUAUUGUGCUGAUAAAGGCUGGCUGAGUUUAGUUCUUUAGGGUGAACUUUAUUAAUACGAGUCCUAGACUCAAGACUUGAUCUCAAAUCAAACAAGACUACCCGCUGAACUUAA